rnacentral:rRNA from 1 species
UGGGGAAUAUUGGACAAUGGGGGCAACCCUGAUCCAGCAAUGCCGCGUGUGUGAAGAAGGCCUGCGGGUUGUAAAGCACUUUCAGAGGGGAAGCGUUACCCUUAGAAGAAGCACCGGCUAACUCCGUGCCAGCAGCCGCGGUAAUACGGAGGGUGCAAGCGUUAAUCGGAAUUACUGGGCGUAAAGCGCACGCAGGUGGCUGAGUCAGUCGAUUUGAAAGCCCUGGGCUUAACCUGGGAAUUGCAGUCGAUACUACUUAGCUAGAGUAUGGGAGAGGGCAGUGGAAUUCCCGUGUAGCGGUGAAAUGCGUAGAUAUCGGAGGAACAUCAGUGGCGAAGGCGGCUGCCUGGCCCAAUACUGACACUCAGGUGCGACAGCGGGGGAGCAAACAGAUUAGAUACCCGAGUAGU